AGGAUUAACGUUGGCGGCGUGCAUAACACAUGCAAGUUGAGCGUGGCCACUAGUUUACUAGAGGUCUAGCAGCGGACGGCUGAGUAAUGCACAGGAACGUACCUCAAAGUGGGGCAUAGCCCAUCGAAAGAUGGGGUAAUACCGCAUGUGCUCGCAAGAGUAAAGCCGCAAGGCGCUUUAAGAACGGCCUGUGUCCUAUCAGGUAGUUGGUGAGGUAAUGGCUCACCAAGCCUAUGACGGGUAGCUGGUCUGAGAGGAUGACCAGCCAGAUCGGGACUGAGACACGGCCCGAACUCCUACGGGAGGCAGCAGUUGGGAAUUUUGCACAAUGGACGAAAGUCUGAUGCAGCGACGCCGCGUGGGGGAUGAAGGUUUUCGGAUUGUAACCCUUUGCGAGGAGUAAUUUGUGACGUACCUCGCGAAUAAGCACGGCUACUCCGUGCCAGCAGCCGCGGUA
rnacentral:rRNA from 1 species